rnacentral:lncRNA from 1 species
AAUGAAGAGUCUACAGAAUUGGAGGAAAUUCAGGAUACUCUCCCAAGGCUGGGUCCAUAGUGGAUGCUCCUCAAAAUAUUCACUGCUAGGGUGACUCAGUCCCCAAGCAUACCAGUGACAGGAGGGGUGGCCCUAACUAAGCCCAAAGCAGCCCCCGCCCUGACUCUUCCCUCCCCCAUCUGAUCUACUGUCGGUACCACAAGCACAUCAGCAGAGAAGCCCUUCCCUGCUCCCACCUUUCUCCAAGGACGGGAAGUGUGGAAUGACUUUGGGGAGGUGACUCAGGUCCAGCUGUACUGAUCCCUUGGGUGAAUGGUGAUAAGAGAGUCUGAUUAAGUCUCAGAGGUAAGGGAUAUGCUUGACCUUCUCCAGUCCUGCCAGGAGCUCGGACGCCCCAUUCUUCUCCCCAACCCCAGCCCAGACCAAAAGAGGGGAAGGAAAAGCAGAAUGGGGAACAGCAUCAAUACUGAUGGAGUCUCUAUGGAGACCAUCUCUCCAAGCCCCCGUUUUCUCAACUGGCAAAUGACAGUUCCUAUAUCACAGGGAUUCUGAUUCAGUAGGUUUGGGUGGGGCCUGAGAGUCUGCAUUUCUAACAAGUUCCCAGGUGAGCCCCAAGCUGCUGCACCUUGUACACAACAGCCCUCAAUAAAAGUCAGCUCACUAGACUUUUUCUUCUAGCGAUUUGAUCCUUAAGAAUUGUCCCUAGGGUACUAGAAUGGUUAUGUCACCGCUGGACAUAACUGAGUGAUUUGCCCAAGCACAGAAGGCUUGGAUUCAGGGCAGAAGCAGGGUUCAAGGUCAAGUCUGCAGAUCCAUCCUUUCCAGGCAUCACACCACCCCAAGCCCCACCUGCUUCAGUGGCAGCCAGAGGCUUGGAGCUGAGGACACGAGCAGCUUUGCCCCUCGGUCCCACUGCUGGCCCCUGCUGGGCCAGCCAGGCCUCCAGGUGCAAGCCCAGGCUCCCCCAAGAAAAACCUUGAGCCAUCACCUCCACUCCCCCAGCAGCAGCCUCUAGCAGCUUCCACCUCCAUCACCUUAUAAAGCGCCCCGAGCUGCACUUUUCCAAGCUGCAGUUUAAAUUUAUAUGGAGCGAACCAACUGUCCUUUCCCUGCAGCCUGGGCCUGACUGCUUCACACAUUCCUUCUGGAGCAACAUUACCUAAUUUAACCAUAGCCCCUGCUCUCCAGGGCUCUCAAAAUAGCAGCAGCCAGUAGGGGAAAAUGCCCUAAUGUUAAAAUAACCAAUUCUCCCUCCUCCCCCACUCUUGGCCAGCACCGCCUCAGACCCAGCCCAGGAAGGAACGAGGGCUGGGAGGACCAAGGUGGGCCUGGUUAGAGGCGGAGAUCCCGCCAUGCUUCCAGCGCUCUCACAGAUACCUUCCCCCAUAUCCUCCAGCUCAUCCCAGGGGCCAGGGUUGCCCUGGUUACCCAAGACUAGCAUUCAGCUUUCACCUUCUCCUAAUAACAGAAACUAUCGUAGGAAUAAUUGCUACCCUUCCCCAGGUAUUCAUUCUGAGCUAAACACUUCCUACCCCUUGGCUCACUGACAGCAGAAAAAUGUAGGGAUGAAUAUUCUCUGGUUUCAGAUGAGGAAAUGGGGGCUCAGAAAGGUGCAGUGACUUGCCCAGGGUUACAAAGCCCUGAGGUGGCAGAAGCGGGAUUGGAACCCAAGCCCAGGUACCCCAAAGCCCUAACCAUCUACUACCUGCUAGCUGGGGCGCCGCUUGCAGGGCCUGAGCCCAGGAGAGGAGGCACGGGGGUGGGGGGUGCUAGAAGGAGCCUGCUCACCUGCUGUAUCACCGCAGGGUCUGCUCACGUGGCUGGCACCAAACCGCAGGGGUCUGUUAUGUCCUCGCUCACAUUUCACCCGGAUUUUCUGAGCCUUAAAUCUGUCCUUAGGACCCCGGGGGCGCAGGCCGCCUGUCAAUCUGUGAUCCAAGCCCCCUACUCCCUGCUCCCUCCCUGACCCCGUGUGUCCCAGAGGAAGGCUGCCUCAUUAAAGCAGGGAGCACCCAAAUGCUGACAUACCUCAAGUGCAACCAGUGGUUAAGGAGCUGGGAGGGUGGGCCUCCCACUCCCCUGCUCACUUAAUGCAGAGUAAUCAUUAACCAGGGCAGAGCACGCACCCCCAGGGCCAGCUCCAGGUCCCUUCCCACCUGGGGAAUUCUAGGGCCACUUUCCCAGCCACCCCGCUGGGACCCUAAGGUCCCUGGUAUGGGAG